rnacentral:rRNA from 1 species
GGCCUCUGUGAGCAAUCCACGAGACCAUACACAGGUGCUGCAUGGUUGUCGUCAGCUCGUGUCGUGAGAUGUACGUUAAGUCCGUGAACGAGCGCAACCCCUGCCCUUAGUUGCUAAUAUGCGAAAGCAUAUGCACUCUAAGGGGACCGCCAGCGGAAAGCUGGAGGAAGGUGGGGAUGACGUCAAAUCCUCAUGGCCUUUAUGUCCAGGGCUACACACAUGCGACAAUGGUCGAGACAACGCGUUGCAAACCAGUAAUGGUAAGCUAAUCGCAUAAAAUCGACCUCAGUACGGAUUGAGGGUUGCAAUUCACCCUCAUGAAGAUGGAGUUGCUAGUAACCGCAGGUCAGCUAUACCGCGAUGAGUACGUUCCCGGGGCUU